rnacentral:rRNA from 1 species
AGGCGGGACUAAUACAUGCAAGUCGAACGGCAGCACAGCAGAGCUUGCUCUGUGGGUGGCGAGUGGCGGACGGGUGAGGAAUACAUGGGAAUCUGCCCAGUCGUGGGGGAUAACGUAUGGAAACGUACGCUAAUACCGCAUGCGCCCUACGGGGGAAAGUCGGGGACCGCAAGGCCUGACGCGAUUGGAUGAGCCCAUGUUCGAUUAGCUAGUUGGCGGGGUAAAGGCCCACCAAGGCGACGAUCGAUAGCUGGUCUGAGAGGGAUGAUCAGCCACACUGGAACUGAGACGCGGUCCAGACUCCUACGGGAGGCAGCAGUAGGGAAUAUUGGACAAUGGGCGCAAGCCUGAUCCAGCCAUGCCGCGUGAGUGAAGAAGGCCCUCGGGUUGUAAAGCUCUUUUGUCCGGAAAGAAAAGCAAUCGGUUAAUACCCGGUUGUUCUGACGGUACCGGAAGAAUAAGCACCGGCUAACUUCGUGCCAGCAGCCGCGGUAAUACGAAGGGUGCAAGCGUUACUCGGAAUUACUGGGCGUAAAGCGUGCGUAGGUGGUUCGUUAAGUCUGAUGUGAAAGCCCUGGGCUCAACCUGGGAAUGGCAUUGGAUACUGGCGGGCUAGAGUGCGGUAGAGGGUAGUGGAAUUCCCGGUGUAGCAGUGAAAUGCGUAGAGAUCGGGAGGAACAUCUGUGGCGAAGGCGACUGCCUGGACCAGCACUGACACUGAGGCACGAAAGCGUGGGGAGCAAACAGGAUUAGAUACCCUGGUAGUCCACGCCCUAAACGAUGCGAACUGGAUGUUGGGUUCAACUUGGAACUCAGUAUCGAAGCUAACGCGUUAAGUUCGCCGCCUGGGGGAGUACGGGUCGCAAGACUGAAACUCA